AUUGGACGUUACCCACAGAAGAAGCACCGGCUAACUCCGUGCCAGCAGCCGCGGUAAUACGGAGGGUGCGAGCGUUAAUCGGAAUUACUGGGCGUAAAGGGUGCGUAGGUGGUUGAUUAAGUUAUCUGUGAAAUCCCUGGGCUCAACCUGGGCAGGUCAGAUAAGACUGAUUGACUCGAGUAUAGGAGAGGGUAGUGGAAUUUCCGGUGUAGCGGUGAAAUGCGUAGAGAUCGGAAGGAACACCAGUGGCGAAGGCGGCUACCUGGCCUAAUACUGACACUGAGGCACGAAAGCGUGGGGAGCAAACAGGAUUAGAUACCCUGGUAGUCCACGCUGUAAACGAUGUCAACUAGCU
rnacentral:rRNA from 1 species